CGCACCGCCGCCGCCGCUGCCCCCGCGCCGCACCGGGGCCGCCGUCCGGAGCGGCACCGGGACAGUCACCGGGAGCGGGCCCGGCAGCGGGACCCUUGGCCAGCAUUGGCGUGUCGGAGCCGGCGCUGUCGGAGCGCAGAAAUGUGGAGCAGGUUGGAAAGCAGAAAGGUGGGACAAGCUGCUGUUCCCUGGUGCUGCCAUGGCGGCUCCAUGCUCAGGAACCUGGGACCACUGCUGUCUGUGCUGCUCCGUGGGAUGGGACAAGGGCAUGGCUGAGCUCUGCUGAGGAGCACAGGGAAACCAGGAGCAAUCAGAACCCCGGAGCCUGGGGCUGUGCUCUUGGAGAGAGAAGGUUUGUUUGUGAGUCAGGGCAGGACCAGAACUGGAGCUGUGCAGAGAAAAUUGGGUGGGAGCCAGGGGGAAAAGCAUGCCUCAGUCCUGGCUGAGGAGUUGUUUUUCACUUCUAAUGUUUCCUGGUCUGUGCACUGGGAGAGCUGGGUCAGGCAGAGCCUGGAAAUCUGUUUCCUCAGUGUCCCGUGGUGCAGAGCAAGUGCAGGGGAGCAGGAGAGGGCCUUGUUGGGGUUUCCUGGUGCUCUCAGUGAGGCUGGGAUGGGGGAAACUCAGCAGGAGAUGCCGACACGGACAUGGAGCUGCGUCUGGCAUUUCCCAGCCUGUCCCUUGGAUUCGCUUCAGUUUCCUUCAGGCAGGCUGGUGAAACGUGCAGUUUUUGUUGUUUUCCAUGUUUCCUGGGAUGGCCAAGGCAGACCCGCUGAGCUGGGUCAGUGCAGGAUGCUCCUCCCAGGGAGGUCCCAGGGCCGGCUCUCAGCUCCCUGGCUGCUCCUUUCAGCCAAGCCCAGCCUGGCACUGGCUCCGGCCCUGAUGACUCCGAACAGGGCUGAUCGCACGGCCCUCCCUCAGGAAACAGCAGCCCCUGCGAUGUGAAGUCAUCGCGUGCGGCUCAGGAGAUGCUGUAACCUCCCUGGAAUGUGCCCUCAGAUGUUUGUCUUUCGAUUGCAACCCAUCAGUUCCUGUGCUGAGAUGUUUUUUGGGAAAAACCUCUUCUUCAUCACACCGUGCUUCCAGUGGGAGGGUCAGGCGUCCAACCUCCUCCCUCCAACCCUGGGAGCACCCCAGGCCUUCCCUGGCUGUCUCCUUCCCGUGGGCUGGGGCCAGUGUUUGUUUGUCCCUGUUGUCACAGAGCAGGUGGAGACAUUCCCUGCCCGGUGGCAUCGGAGCUGCUGCAGAGCUGCUCCAGCCCACACAUGCCAGCUGGAGGGAUGGGUGGUCACCCAGGUGGGACAGGACAUUGGCUUGGAAGGGCACAAGCUGCUCCUCACAGCCCUUCCUGGCCUCUGGCUGCUGGAGGUUGGGAGCCAAGGUGUAGGGAGAGAGGGAAAAGAGGUGCAGAAAGGCUCUGUGGGGACCCAGGGGUGCUCCCUGCGCUGCUGGCGGGAGUUGGGUUGGAUGGAGGAGCCCCACAAAACCCUGGACCCGUGAGCUUUCCCAGGAGGGAUGAGGAGCAGCAGCCUCUGGAACAUCCCAAGGCGGGACAGCAGCUCCCCAGACAUCCAUGUCCCGGCCAGGAGCGUCCCCGCGCUCCGGCGAUGGAUGACAGGCAAUGACAGGACAGGACAGACAAUGACAGGCCACGAGAGGCAAGUUCUGCUGCAGCUCCUUCCCUGGGCUGGGCUCCCGGGGCCAGCGCCUCCGCGGCUCCUGGCACAGCUGAUCUCCUCGCUCCCUCUAGUGGGAUUGGGGUGGCUGCGUGGGCUCCUGCCUGGCCACACCUGUGUCCCCGUUCCUCCUCUUGAUG